GGGCUUCGAAAUGUACUUUAAGAACGCAUAAAAUCGCUUUCGAAUGAUAUGAACUCUUAGUUUCACAUCUUCAAAAGUGAUUUCAUCUGAAAUGUAGUCACAAAGCUCUUCUGUAGCGCGGUGUAGGACGCCGUUGAAAACCUCAACUGUAUCUAGGGUUUCUAGUUGAAUGCAAUUCUCAUGGAUUGAAUGCAUCAUCAGCAAGUCGUAACUUAAC
rnacentral:lncRNA from 1 species